UCAGGGAAUAGCUACAGCAACUAUGCCUGGUUCCAGCAGAAGGUCCCUGGCAGUGCCCCUGUCACUGUGAUCUAUGCUAAU